GUAUUUCUAUGGGGAAAAGAUAAAUGUCAUAAAUUCAUUUAGUGGCGAUUAGAAAGCAGGCUUGAAAAUAAAUAUUAGCUUGGCAGGUUCAAAGCAGGCUUGAAAACAAAUAUUAGCUUGGCGGGUUCAAAGUUUUUAGCUUUGUUUACUAAGUGCAAGAAAAAUAAAGGUAAAGAUAAAAUAAAGGGACUCCUGACCAUUAGGUCCAGUCACGGACUACUUUGGGGUCGCAGCAUUCAUCUCGCUUUACUGGCCAAGGGAGCUGGCAUACAGCUUCCAGGUCAUGUGGCCAGCAUGACUAAGCCGCUUCCGGCGAACCAGAGCAGCGCACAGAAACGCCGUUUACCUUUCCUCCGGAGUGGCCGAGGAAGAACCUUUAGAUUGGCUCUCAGACCAUUUCCUGAACGAAUCAACGCAGGGGGUUGAGCAGAAUGUCUUUUCUCCAUGGCUUCUGCCGGAUCAUCUUUGAGUACCAGCCGUUGGUCGGCGAGAUCUUGGAAUGUAUGGAUCCUGUGCUGCAGGAAAUGAUGGAAAGCUCCAGCACCGUGGCAGAAGAUGACAGACGGAUUGCAGUCCUUCAUGAGCUGCUGGAGAGGAACGCCAACUCCGUGUAGUACCAAGAGGAUGUGAACUAUGCAUUGCUGAUGUAUGGGAUGGUCUGAGCCGCAGAAGCCCUCCUGCGUGGUGCGACAUUCGUCCAUUGCCGGGCAUAAAGCCAGUCCAUGUGUGUGAAUAUGGUGCAGUAACACCCUGUUCAACAAUCCCGCAAAUGUCGUCCUGUGCAUGACCAACAUCCGUGUCCGCAGUUGACUGGUACGUGUGGCGCAAAGGCCCCAGAGACUGGAAACACCCCCUUGGUAGAUCAGCGAUCUUCUUGGUCCACCCUUGAAGUCAGACAGCCGCCUCCGCAGAGCUGCUCAGGUCUAUGAGGAGAUACUUUUUCAACAUGUUGGGAAGCAGGGGGGCCUUGACUUUUUCGUCGAUCAGCCAGGGUGUGAGAUGCUGCCACAGGAAAACCCGGCAUAUCUGCUUCAAGGGCUCCAGCUGCUUGAGGCUGGUGAAGAAGUCCAAGAUCCUCUUCCCAUGGAACUGGUAGUUGCUGAGGUUGAUAUCAAAGUUGCUGGGGAACUUGAUCUGGGAGCUUGAGGCCAUGAGCUCCAGCACCAUCUCAGCCUUCUGAAAGAGGUCGGCAGAGAAGGUGUCGUCCUCUGACCCACUCAGAUCCACACACCCAAGAAAACCUUUUUUUUAAUUUUUUUUAACCACAUAUCACGAGGCAAGUUGCAAGGGCUCCAUGGCUCAUUUGAAUGAUCUAUUAUUAUUUCUGUAAGUUUAGCCAGUUCAAAAUAUUCACUUAGUUUUAAGAGCCAUUCUUCUUUUGUUGGCAACACAUUACUUUUCCAAUAUUUUGCAAUCACGAUCCUGGCAGCCGUGAUUGCAUAUAAAAAAAACUCUUCUUUUUUUGUCCUUUGGAAUGUCUGGUUGUUGUUUUUUGUUUUUGGAAAGGAGAGUCUCAUCAUUUUUAAUUCUUCUUAUAUCAUGUCCUAGAAUAUGUUUAUUCUGGGGCACCUCUACCACAUGUGGAAUAGAGUUCCCUCCUUAUGGUUGCACCUCCAACAUUUACUACUGAUUUUUUUUAAAGCCAUUUUUCUCAGGUCAGAUACCACUGAUACACCUUUAGGAAACUUUCUUUGAUCAUAUAGCAAGCCGUAAAUCUAAUAUCAUUUUUCCAAAAAAAUUCCCACUUGUCUAAUUCUAUAUUAUAGCUGAAAUAUUGGGCCCAUAUUAUCAUUAUGUCCUUUACCUCUUCAUCUUUCAGAUGCCAAUUUAGUAAUAACAUAUACAUUUUGGACAAAUUCUUUUUAUCGUUUGAAAGAAGUUCUUUAUCUAGAUCAGAUUAUCUUGUUGAAUCCGUUCCUUUUUUAUCAUGUUCAAAGCUUAUACCAAAUUGUUUUAAUGUAUCGUAUUUCUUCAAUUUCAGUUGGUUGUUUUCUUCUAGUAAAUCUUUAUAUGUCUGCCAAUUGGUAUCCAUAUUUUUUCCUUUUUACAGCCAUUGCCUCCAUUGGUGAUAAACACCAUGGGGUUUUCGGCUCCAACAAUUUUUUAUUUCUUUCAAAUAUUGCUUUUCUGAUUAUGUGGUUGUGAAAUCCCUUGUGUAUUUUCACUUUAUCAUAACCUGGAUAUCCAUGCCAUCCUACUAUAUUGCCCCAUCCCUCUAAAUCUAAUAAAUUGACAUUCUUUAAAGUCAUCCAUUCCUUCAGCCAAACAAAACAUGCUGCUUCGUAAUACAACCUGAAAUCUGGCAAUGCAAUGCAAAGCUGAAAUCUGGCAAUGCAACCUGAAAUCUAGCAAUCCUUAGUGUCUGUUAACAAUUUAAAUUUUAUCCUAGGUUUUUUACCUGGCCAAAUACCUGUGCCAUUCUUUGAAGCAGUUAAGUCCAUUAAUAACUUUUGAUAAAAUAAGAAUAAUAGAGAAAACUGGGUAUUGAAACCUGCUUAACCUAAAUCAUAUAUCCCAGUUUCCAGCGGCCCUUUAAAGUAUGCUUCAUGCAGAGUAUAUACAGUCAGAAUUCGACCUGGCUAAGAAAACACCACCAAGAGCAUAGGGAAUUAUCUCCCUUAUAUGAAACCCCUUACUAGCUGCACACUUGUAAAAGUAUACAGAUGAAAAUACAAACAGUUGGGUUUCUUUAACUGAAACUAACUCUAAAGAGACUUUAAACUAAAGAUAAAUGCUUUCUCUCUUAGCAACUUUAUCUACCCACAUUCCAACCUUCAAACCAUUCCAAACCUCCCACAAACUCCCACAUAACUCCCAUUAAACUACCCAAGAAUUAACAGCAAACUAGCUUUAUAACUAAGCAACUCUCAUACUAAGAUUCAACUAAGGAAUCUCUUAAACUGAGAGUCUCUCUUACUAAGAUUCAACUUGGAAUCUCUUAAACUGAGAAUUAAAUCACACUGAGAGAUAUUUAACUGAGAGAUACAUUCAACUGAGAGAGUGAUCUACUAAGAGAUACAGAAAGCUUUCUGGCAGAGCCUUAUAUACAAGGAGCAGAGCCCACGCCUGUGAGUAAUUAACAGAAAUCACCGGCACCUGUUUCUCUUAAACAAACAGUAUUUACAUUAGACCAGCUCUAAAGUAACUCGACUAUUCAAAAAAUCCAACAAUAACCGGGAUGGUUUGAAAAAGGAACAAUAUUUUUGGAAGGAUUACCAUUUUAAUCGUUGAGUUUCUCCACCAUAAUGACAGUUUUAGUCUAUUCCAACUUCCUAACUCCUUUUUUAUUUCAUUCCAGGCCUUUGUAUAAUAAUCCUUAUAGAGUCUGAGAUUGUUUUUCAUAGUGAUCCAAAUUCCCAGGUAUCUGGCUUUGUUAGUCACUUUUAAUCCUUUUUCCAGCUCUGCUUUUUCUUGUGCAUCCAAAUUUUUCACCAUACGUUUUGUUUUUUCUUUGUUAACUUUAAACCCAUAUAGUUGGCCGAAUUCAUUCAUUUUCUCUAAUGUUAUUAAAAUACUUUCUAAUGGGUUUUCUGUUGUGAUUUUCAAGUCGUCUGCAAAUGCCUUAACCUUCUAGGCUCUUUCCCCCAGUUUUACCCAUGCUAUUUUUGGAUCACCCCUAAUCACUUUUAGGUGUGUUUCUAACACUGUUACGAAGAGAAGGGGCGACAGUGGGCACCACUGCCUUGUUCUUUAGAGAUGUCGGAGGAAUCUGACAAUUCAUUAUUUAUAAUCAGUCUUGCCCUUUGGGAUUUAUAUAUUGCUUGAAUUCCACUACAUAUUUUCUCUCCUAAUCUCAUUGUUUCAAUAGUUUUUAGCAUGUACUUCCAAGAUACAUUGUCGAAAGCUUUUUCAGCAUCGACUAGCAUCAGGGCUGCCUUUUAGUCCAGCCUCAUUUCUAAAUAUUCAAUUACCGGUAUAUCUAUUAGCAUCCUCGUAUUGUCUUUAUCUCCCCGGUAAAAAAACACGGAUUGGUCCUCAUUAAUUAUUCUUCCCCCCAAUUUUUUUUUAAAUCUAUUAGCCAAAGAUUUUGCAAAUAUUUUGUAAUCCGUGUUUAAUAGAGGGAUUAAAUCCUAGUUUCAGACAGAUUUGAACCUUGUUUCAGUAUUAAUGUUAAUAACGCCUCCUGCCAUGAUUUUGGGACCUUCCCUUCUAAUAUUUUGUUCAUCAUACCUCCCAGUACUGAUAGUACUCAGUACUCUUCCAUUUUCUUAUAAUACAUUAUAGAGAUUCUGUCUGGCCCUGGAGAUUUUCUGACUUUAGAUUUUGCAAUCGCGUACUUUAUUUCGCUAAUGUUUAUGGGGGCAUUUAAAUAUUUUUGUUCUUCUGUUAUCAAUGGUAAUCUAUUAUUGGUCAGGAAUUCUUCUAUUGUAUUUUCAGCCUUCUCUUCUGCUUUAUAUAAUUUUUUAUAGUGAUUUAUUAGACACACUUUAAUUUUUUCUGAAUUGUUUAACGUUUCUAAUAUUUAUUUUCAAGUGGCAUCUGCUUUGUCAUUGUCACUGAAUGAAUUUAUGACAUUAUCUUUUCCCCAUAGAAAUACGUUAAUCCCCUCCCCCCCCCCCCCGCUGCCACUGCCAGUAAGGGCAAGAAAAUUAACGCAGACCAAGAAAGUUUUAUAGGCAGCAAAAUACAAAUUAUCAAACAAAAGUCAGCAUCUUAGUAAACUGCCACCUGCUUCCAAAACCCUGCUUUCCAAACCAGUCACUACAAACAUUGGAACAAGCCCACCUCACAAGGCUGUUGGGAAGAUUUCACAGUCCUUUUAAGUAACUUAAUAAAGCCUUUUUGCUAAAACAGCAAAAAACAAAACAAAAAAACCCAUAUCAAAGUAGCCCAUUAAAAUGUUUAUUUCAACCACCUUUCUCUCUGCAAAUUCCCAACUCCCAUCCCACCCUGUUGGACCCAUGGAGGCCCACAGCUGCCUCUCUCUCUCUCUCUCUCUCUCUCUCUCUCUCUCUCUCUCUCUCUCUCUCUCUCUCUUGAUUGCUGGCUCGCUCUCGCUCUCCCCACUAGAGAUGUGAAGGCCCGGAAAACCCCCAGAAAAAUUGGGGAAACCCCCAGGUUUUUUCUGUUUUUUCCCUGAAGCCUUUUUUGUUUUGUUUAUCGGAAAAUUGGAAAAAUAAAAAAUAGAUUACGGAAUGUUUUAUUUUAACGUGAUGAAUAAAAUAUUUUAAGAUAAGGGGUUUAAAUAUUUUAUAAAUCCUUUUUAAAAAACAUGUAUUGUAUCAGAUUAUUCUAAUUUCUGUGAGAACAAGCAAGUCCUAGGUUACAAACUGAACUCUCCAAUGCAAGAACAAGAUACACUUCUUCCUUUAGGAGGUGCUGUUGUCACCAGAAAAGAAAAAGGUUUCAGUUUUGUUUUUGCAUACGUGUGGUAUGCAUUGGUUCUGUUCCUCUUCACUAGGCCUCAAAGCACUGGAAGAAAAUAUAGAGCAACAAAAAGGGCCUUAAAGUAUAUGUGUUGUUGUGGCAAUCAGAGAAGUGUUGUGAAAGAAAAAAAAGAAAUGAAAAUAUUUUAAACAUUAAAUGCUGUAAAACAGUCUUUAAAAAAGUGAAAUAAACUAAUUUUAGCAUAUAGUAGUAGCUAAAGUGAUUAACAGACCACACAUAUCAGUGUGAGGAAAUACAUAAGGUCUCAUGGGCAAAACAUGGGAGGUGGAGUAAGCAUGUUGCAUAGCAAA